rnacentral:rRNA from 1 species
GACGAACGCUGGCGGCGUGCCUAAUACAUGCAAGUCGAACGCUGAAGAGAGGAGCUUGCUCUUCUUGGAUGAGUUGCGAACGGGUGAGUAACGCGUAGGUAACCUGCCUUGUAGCGGGGGAUAACUAUUGGAAACGAUAGCUAAUACCGCAUAACAAUGGAUGACACAUGUCAUUUAUUUGAAAGGGGCAAUUGCUCCACUACAAGAUGGACCUGCGUUGUAUUAGCUAGUAGGUGAGGUAAUGGCUCACCUAGGCGACGAUACAUAGCCGACCUGAGAGGGUGAUCGGCCACACUGGGACUGAGACACGGCCCAGACUCCUACGGGAGGCAGCAGUAGGGAAUCUUCGGCAAUGGGGGCAACCCUGACCGAGCAACGCCGCGUGAGUGAAGAAGGGUUUCGGAUCGUAAAGCCCUGUUGUAAGUCAAGAACGGGUGUGAGAGUGGAAAGUUCACACUGUGACGGUAGCUUACCAGAAAGGGACGGCUAACUACGUG